UACGGAGGAUCCGAGCGUUAUCCGGAAUUAUUGGGUUUAAAGGGUGCGUAGGCGGCACUUUAAGUCAGGGGUGAAAUACAGCGGCUCAACCGUUGCAGUGCCCUUGAUACUGAAGUGCUUGAAUGUGGCCGAAGGAGGCGGAACGGGACAAGUAGCGGUGAAAUGCAUAGAUAUGUCCCAGAACCCCGAUUGCGAAGGCAGCUUCCUAGACCGUUAUUGACGCUGAUGCACGAAAGCGUGGGGAUCGAAC
rnacentral:rRNA from 1 species